GUUGUUUAUAUAAAAGAAUGUCGAACAGUUGGAUUGCUAGCUGUGAGAUUGUACGAUCCCGAGAUUGUCGGACCAAUGAAUAUGCCAAACUAGAUGAGAUAAUUCAGCCUUUAAACGCUCCCGCGAGAUCAGGAGAGAUGGUUACGCCAAAUCUUAUCUUAUUCGAGAUAGACAACUGUCGUACAUGUUGAAGAGAUAAGUAGGCUGAACAGCUCAUACAUAGAUCAGACUUCGGAGAUGCCUCAGCUCAGCACGGAGAUGGACUCCUCAGCUCAUACGGCAGUCAAUGAUCGUAUUAAUGACCUGUGAGCUUGACAUGUGUUAUGAUAUAGCACUGAUCCGAGGUGCCCAUAGUUAUCACUGUAACAAAGUCUAUUCAUUGGGGAUUUUCCAUUGGGAGACCUUUCGAUUCCUAAGCCAAAUCACCUCAGGAAAAUAAUAGAGGUUCUAAGUUGAAGAAGAUAGAGAGGGAG
rnacentral:lncRNA from 1 species